AUAGAAGCUGUGUUUGAAUGAGCCCUUGAAUGUGGCCGGCCCAGUUUUCAUUUGCCAAAGGGGAAGAAAACAGAAAGAGCUGCCGAUUUCUGCCUACAGUCGCACAGAAAGCAAGGAGUUUGUGGUACCUGAAAAAAGACGGUGGCCAGGGAUACUGCCAUCAGAAAGAGCCUCUGACAGGAAUUCCUCGCUAUCACCUCCUGGCAAACAUUAAAACAAAAUGUAUCUGAGCGAACUGGACUGCUGAUGUAUCCAUGAAGUGUUUGCAAAUGGAUUGAGCUGCCUCUGCUAAACUGUGGAUUUCCAGACAACACAGACCUGAGUUGAUGCAGAGAACCUUUCU